CACGUAGGGUGCGAGCGUUGUCCGGAAUUAUUGGGCGUAAAGAGCUCGUAGGCGGUGUGUCGCGUCGGCCGUGAAAACCUGCAGCUUAACUGUGGGCUUGCGGUCGAUACGGGCAUCACUGGAGUUCGGCAGGGGAGACUGGAAUUCCUGGUGUAGCGGUGAAAUGCGCAGAUAUCAGGAGGAACACCGGUGGCGAAGGCGGUUCUCUGGGCCUUACCUGACGCUGAGGAGCGAAAGCGUGGGGAGCGAACAGG
rnacentral:rRNA from 1 species